GGGCCCGCACAAGCAGCGGAGCGUGUGCUUUAAUUCGAUGCUACACGAAGAACCUUACCUGGGUUUGACAUGCACGUGCUAGGGAACCGUAAGGGGACCGACCUUCGGGAGCGUGCACAGGUGCUGCAUGGCUGUCGUCAGCUCGUGCCGUGAGGUGUCGGGUUAAGUCCCGUAACGAGCGCAACCCUUGCCCUUAGUUACAAGUGUCUAAGGGGACUGCCCGGGACAACUGGGAGCAAGCUGGGGAUGACGUCAAGUCAGCAUGGCCUUUAUAUCCAGGGCUACACACACGCUACAAUGGCCGGUACAAUAGGUUGCGAAGUCGUGAGGCGGAGCCAAUCCUCAAAGCCGGUCUCAGUUCGAAUUGCAGUCUGCAACUCGACUGCAUGAAGCUGGAGUUGCUAGUAAUCGCAGGUCAGCUAUACUCCGCUGAAUACGUUCCCGGGCCUUGUACACACCGCCCGUCACGUCAUGGAAGCUGGCAACGCCUGAAGCCGGUGAGCUACCCGUAAGGGAGCAGCCGUCGAGGUGGGGCUG
rnacentral:rRNA from 1 species